GACGAACGCUGGCGGCGUGCUUAACACAUGCAAGUCGAACGAAGUGGCGAACGGGUGAGUAAUACGUGGGUAACCUGCCCUCCUUUUUGGGAUAAGCCUUGGAAACGGGGUCUAAUACAGAAUUAAGGGGGAUGGGCUCGCGGCUUAUCGGCUUGUUGGUGGGGUAAUAGCCUACCAAGGCGGUGACGGGUAGCCGGCCUGAUAGGUGGACCGGCCAAAUUGGGACUGAGAUACGGCCCAGGCGCCUACGGGAGGCAGCAGUGGGGGAGAUGGGAGAAUGGGCGAAGGACGGAUGCAGCGACGGCGCGGGGGGGAUGAGGGCUUUCGGGUUGUAAACCUCUUUCGCUAUCGAAGGGGUAGGUGGAGAAGAAGCGCCGGCUAACUACGUGCCAGCAGCCGCGGUAAUAC
rnacentral:rRNA from 1 species